UCUGUUUUCGGGGUAAAUAACUUGCUGAAGUCGACACGACGCUUUUCCCUGGAGGAGAAGAUGAGUGCGUGUGGAAGCAGAGCCGCGGGCCCGGUGUGGACGAGUCGAGGCGGAGAAGACGGAUGCACAGUCCCUGAGUUACGCCUCAGCCCCCCCCCCCCCCACACACACACACAAACAAAGAGGCGUUAGGCUGAGACGCUGAAAGUCCGGAUUUAAAGUGCAGAAAAUUAAGCCAUUGAAUCUGCCUGUCCAUGACGUACAAAGACACACUAUGAGCCAGUAUGAUCCGACCAGACCUUACAUCAGCAUUGAGGAGUUGUCGGAGAAGAAAGAGGCUGAUUGAAGCGGGACAGAUGACAUGGAUCCAUCCUUCCACAGCCAGGAGCGCACCGACCUGUGUGCCACACUUCAUUAAGACUGGAAGCUACACUGAUCUCACAGCUACACACCACAGACGUCUACACACUGGAGAAGAUUCAGACAGAGUCCCACAAAGAAGUCAUGACCCAGAGGCUGCAGAGAAACAUUUCAAGCCUCAUCUGAGUUUUUGUACAAUAUUUUUGCUGUAUGUAAAUAAAGCUUUCACUCCACA